AAGCCGAUGAGGAUCAAAUUUUUGAUAUUUGGAAUUACCGUCUGAACAUAAUAUUGAUGUCAGAUUUACUAUCUGAGGCUUCCU
rfam:Nicotiana attenuata strain TT scaffold03104, whole genome shotgun sequence.